GCCAUUAAUAGAUAUCACACAGGUUCCCGUAAGAUUUUGACGUCAUAAAACAAAAUAUCUGAUGCCACCAUGGAAAAAUGAUUGUUAUAUAUAUAUGCAUCAAAAGUUCAAGCAGCUGACUCAGCCAGGAUUAGCGACAAGGUGUAUCUUACAAAACAUCCUGAACCACUGGGUUUAAAUGAGCACACCCCAGCAAGCACGACUUAUUUAUGCGCAGAACAACCAAUCACACAAUAGCCAAAAUGAAUCAGUGACAUA
rnacentral:lncRNA from 1 species